GCUGGCAAAACAGAAGAAUUAUGUGUAUAUGUAACCGUAACAAAAUGUGGUUUUAUGUGAAGAGGUACUUGGGUUUCUCAGUCCUGAGACUGGGUUGAAAUUUAGCACAGAGAAGUGCACUGGCAACUAGAGAAGAAUUAAACACAGCGAUGCACCUUACUUGGGAAGCAUGCUUGCCCUGGGAAUCUGUGAUCCUGUUCUACUCUCAGUUUUUGGUGUGUGGGUCAGGAGUGAGGAGGGUGAAAACACUGAUGCAUAAACAAAUACUAAGAGUUGCAACUCAUAGAAAGGGAGGACAGAAAGGACCUCAUCUUCCUUUAUGUUUGGAGACCCAGGUGCUGAGGAAAAAGGAAGAGACUAAGGAAAGACAUGGAAGAACCUGUAAGCAAGAUUGCUUGUGUUGGAUCCUGGAUGAACAGCAAGACCCAGUUUUCACUGCUGCUGGAAAUUUUUAAACAGCAAGAAGAUAAAUCUGUGGAGAAGGAAACAUACAAAGCUACAAGAUGGAGACACCUUCCUCUGUAAAAUCUGCCAAACUUCAGCUACCCAUUGACUGUCUUCCAAAACCCCCU
rnacentral:lncRNA from 1 species